rnacentral:tRNA from 1 species
UUGGGGAUUUAGCUCAGUGGUAGAGCACUUGUCUAGCAAGCACAAGGCCUUGGGUUCGGUCCUCAGCUCCAAA